rnacentral:rRNA from 1 species
UGGGGGAAUAUUGCACAAUGGGCGCAAGCCUGAUGCAGCGACGCCGCGUGAGCGAAGAAGUAUUUCGGUAUGUAAAGCUCUAUCAGCAGGGAAGAAAAUGACGGUACCUGACUAAGAAGCUCCGGCUAAAUACGUGCCAGCAGCCGCGGUAAUACGUAUGGAGCAAGCGUUAUCCGGAUUUACUGGGUGUAAAGGGAGCGUAGGCGGUAAGGCAAGUCUGAUGUGAAAAUUUGGGGCUCAACCCCAAAACUGCAUUGGAAACUGUUUAACUGGAGUGUCGGAGGGCAAGUGGAAUUCCUAGUGUAGCGGUGAAAUGCGUAGAUAUUAGGAGGAACACCAGUGGCGAAGGCGGCUUGCUGGACGAUAACUGACGCUGAGGCUC